CUUAUAUUUUGGAUGUAAGGAAAGUUGCUAGCACUUUACUCUUCAUGAAAUCUGAUGGGGAAAAAACCAACCAACAAUUACUACAUCAAGAUAGUUUCCUAGUGGCCACGUUGCAUUUUGAGAUAUAUACUUUGAUGAUUGGAAUUUACCCUCUUGGAUAGCCAAGGCAUUUCUUUCUUCAUCAUUCAUGGUAACCAACCGAAUACCAGGUUCAAAGAAUUCAAACAAGCUGCAUUGCUGACCUUUUUGUCUCUGGUAGAAGAACACGAAUGUUGGCUUUGUUUUAUUUUGAAAUCCCUGUUGGCAGUUGUCUUGUUUCUUUGUAGAUAUAGACAGAGCCACAGCAUCGGCAUUACAAAUCCUACUAUCGCAUUUGUUAGGAGAUGCUGGCAGUCCUAAUGUUGUGGGUUUGGCAUUUCUUUCUUCAUCAUUCAUGGUAACCGACUGAAUACAAGGCUUAAACAAUUCAAACAAGCUGCAUUGCUGACCUUUUUGUCCCUGGGAGAAGAACACAAAGUUGGCUUUGUUUUCUUUUGAAAUCCCUGUUGGCAGCGGUCUCUCGGGAUGUUGUUGGUUCAAAAGUAUCUUCUGCAUUUAGUGGUGACAAUUAUUUUAUAAUAGAGAAAACACAGGGGGCAAAUUGAAAAGAGUCAGGGUGAUAUCGUUACAGACAAGGAUGUUAUCAUUUGUCGUUCAUGGUUGAAUGAUGUGAAACAUAUGUUACGCUGAUACAGACAGAGCCACAGCAUCGGCAUUGCAAAUCUUGCUAUCACAUUUGUUAGGAGAUGCUGGCAGUCCUUAUAUUGUGGGUUUGACUCAGCACAGAAAUCGUGUGACUCAAUCAAUUGCUGCAGUUGCGUGUGUCAAGGAAGGGCUGAGAUUCUGGUAUGAAGACCAACUGGAAAUACUUCGUGGAUUUUGAGAUUACAAAAUCGGCUAAACUCGAUGAAACACAAACUUCACGACCAGCUGUUGGAGAGACAGAGAUGUAAGAAAGUUUAAUUCCAAAAAAAUUCUUUGACAAUGCAGAACAAAAGGUGCUGCUCACAUAACAGGGCGGAUCUUCACCCUCGUCAAUUUUAUUACAAGAUUCCGGUCAAAAGUUGAAUCUUGGUUCGUCGUUUGUUCAACGAACUCGAUAUUCGAGUCGUAGUCUGAGAGAUGGACCAAGCACUUUUAUACUUCUUGAUGUCGUACCAGAUUCCAAAGACAGUGUUUUAUACAAGGAAGAAACUGAAGGCAAGCGAAAUUACCCUUUCAAUAUGGUGAAAUUCAAAAUGGCGGUGCAACAGAGAUGAUGCCAUGUGGAUCUCGUAGUUUUCACCUUUGUGAGCAAGCUGGUCGUGCUGUGUGUUCAAACAUGAAGAUGAAGCCGAUUUCGAGGGAAUCUUUCAACGUGCUAGCCAGUAAAGAUUUGUGUUGGAUAUGUUCCUGUUUCUUCAGAAGCCAAGGCUUCCUAGUGGCCACGUUGCAUUUUGAGGUAUAUACUUUGAUGAUUGGAAUUUACCCUCUUCGAUAGCCAAGGUUCAAAUAACUCAAACAAGCUGCAUUGCUGACCUUUUUGUCUCUGGUAGAAGAACACGAAUGUUGGCUUUGUUUUAUUUUGAAAUCCCCGUUGGCAGGUGAGAAAGAUCAUUGUUAAGUUUUAUCUGACUCCAGGAUGUAUUUGAUAUGUUAUGCUGGUAGGUGAUUUUAACUGAUAGAAUUAUGCAGUAUAAAUAUAGUUAGUUUGUGUAGGUUUCUUGCUGUAGUAAACACUGAAUCAAUAGGAGAUGAUCCAGUAUGCCAUUCCUGGCUUCAAAAUAUAUUGUUCUUUCUUAUUUUAAGUUAAAUAUGUAUUUCUGAAAUUAUAUAAAUUUAUUAUUUCGGUAAAGACAUUUCUAUAAUAUAAUUGUUAGCAGUUGUCUUGUUUCAUUGUAGAUAUAGACACAGCCACAGCAUCGGCAUGGCAAAUCCUACUAUCACAUUUGUUAGGAGAUGCUGGCAGUCCUAAUAUUGUGGGUUUGGCAUUUCUUUCUUCAUCAUUCAUGGUAACCGACUGAAUACAAAUUUAAACAAUUCAAACAAACUGCAUUGCUGACUUUUUUGUCCCUGGAAG